CGAAGAAAGACGUGAUAAGCUGCGAAAAGCGGCGGGGAUUGGCAAAUACGAGGUGAUCCGCCGAUAUCUGAAUGGGGAAACCCACCGGAGUAAUCCUCCGGUACCGCAGGG
rnacentral:ncRNA from 1 species